rnacentral:rRNA from 1 species
UGUGUAAGCGUUGAAGGGCACACGGUGGAUGCCUUGGCAUCAGGAAGCCGAUGAAGGACGUGGGAGGCUGCGAUAAGCCUGGGGGAGUUGUCAACCGAGCUGUGAUCCCAGGAUGUCCGAAUGGGGAAACCCGGCCGGAGUGAUGUCCGGUCACCGCUGUCUGAACACAUAGGGCAGUCGGAGGGAACGCGGGGAAGUGAAACAUCUCAGUACCCGCAGGAGAAGAAAGCAACCGCGAUUCCCCGAGUAGUGGCGAGCGAAACGGGACAGAGGCUAAACCGGAUGCGUGUGCAGAGCCGGCAGGCGUUGCGCAUCCGGGGUCGUGGGACCGCCCGGGCCGGGGCUGCCGCCUCGGCGGGGAAGAGCGCACAGUGAGCCGAACGUGUUGGAAGGCGCGGGCGUAGUGGGUGAGACCCCCGUAGGUGAACGUUGUGUGUGCUCCCUGUGGUGUGUUCCCGAGUAGCACGGGGUCCGUGGAUUCCCGUGUGAAUUGGCCAGGACCACCUGGUAAGCCUGAAUACUCCUGGUGACCGAUAGCGGAGAGUACCGUGAGGGAAUGGUGAAAAGUACCCCGGGAGGGGAGUGAAAGAGUUCCUGAAACCGUGUGCCUACAAACCGUCAGAGCAUGCUCUUUGCGGGUGUGUGAUGGCGUGCCUUUUGAAGAAUGAGCCCGCGAGUUAGUGGUGCGUGGCGAGGUUAACCCGUGUGGGGAAGCCGGAGCGAAAGCGAGU